CAGGAAUGGGACCACAGGCUGCAAAUGGACAGAGCUCCUCCACACGAUGCUGGCAGUCCUACUGAGCUUUUCCUGCGAUUUCUAUGUUUGUCCAUGGGUUUGGAAGGUGCUAUCUGAGGACCUUUGGUAUCAGUGGGGACAUCACCAUGACCCAGUCUCCUCCGGUGCUGUCAGUGGGACGGGGCCAGACCGCAACACUCACCUGUACGGCCAGUCAAAGCAUUAGCAGCUCCCUUGAUUGGUACCAACAACGAGAAGGUCAGAAGCCCUCUCUCCUGAUCUAUUAUGCAACAAAUCGAUUCACAGGAGUCUCCGAUCGAUUCACCGGCAGUGGAUCAGGGACCAGUUUUACCCUGAAAAUCAGCAACGUUCAGAAUGAGGAUGUCGCUGACUAUUACUGUAUGCAGCAUAGCAGCUGGCCUUCACAGUGAU